rnacentral:rRNA from 1 species
UACAGAGGUCUCAAGCGUUGUUCGGAUUCAUUGGGCGUAAAGGGUGCGUAGGCGGCGCGGUAAGUCGGGUGUGAAAUCUCGGAGCUUAACUUGGGAAUUGCGCUCGAAACUACGGAGCUGGAGUGUGGCAGAGGAAGGUGGAAUUCCACGUGUAGCGGUGAAAUGCGUAGAGAUGUGGAGGAACACCGAUGGCGAAGGCAGCCUUCUGGGCCAACACUGACGCUCAUGCACGAAAGCGUGGGGAGCAAACAGG